UCGUCUAAAAACCGAAAAAACAGGUCGUCGCCUGAUCCUGAUCCAAGGCCGGCCGUCUCCUGAUCUAAAGAUCUAAAGAUCUAAAGAAGGCCGUCUCCUGCUACAAAGAAGAUCUAAAGAAGGUCGUCUCCUGUUCUAGAGAAGGCUGUCUCGUGAUACAAAGAUGAUCUAAAGAAGGCCGUCUCCUCCUGAUCUAAAGAAGAUCUAAAGAAGGCCGUCUCCUGAUCUAAAGAAGGUCGUCUCCUGAUCUAAAGAAGAUCUAAAGAAGGUCGUCUCCUGUUCUAAAGAAGGCUGUCUCGUGAUAUAAAGAUGAUCUAAAGAAGGCCGUCUCCUGAUCUAAAGGAGGCCGUCUCCUGAUCUCCUGAUCUAAAGAAGAUCUAAAGAAGGCCGUCUCCUGAUCUAAAGAAGAUCUAAAGAAGGUCGUCUCCUGAUCUAAAGAAGAUCUAAAGAAGGUCGUCUCCUGUUCUAAAGAAGGCUGGCUUGUGAUCUAAAGAUGAUAUAAAGAAGGUCGUCUCCUGAUCUAAAAAGGCCGUCUCCUGAUCUAAAGAAGGCCGUCUCCUCAUCUAAAGAAGAUCUAAAGAAGGCCAUCUCCUGAUCUAAAGAAGGUCGUCUCCUGUUCUAAAGAAGGCUGUUUCUUGAUCUAAAGAUGAUCUAAAGAUGAUCUAAAGAAGGCCGUCUUCUGAUCUAAAGAAUAUCUAAAGAAGUGAUUUCCUGGUGUUUCAGAAUUAAGUUUCUGGGUGAGUAGACUACGAAGUUUGGAAUCUGGCAACUGAAUCAGGCAUAGUGGGAUCCACUGCCUUCAAGCUUUCUCCAGGUUCAGAACUUAUUCUCCAAAAGCAUGUUUAGAUGACACCUGAAAUCAAGAAUGUCAAUUCCAAUUUAUAGAUGUAAGUUUAUGAGAAUUAUAAAAGACCAAUCAAUGCUACCAACACUAUAAAGAGGAACACUACGAGGUUACUUAUUACAUAGUUGGUUAGAGACAUUUCUGCCAAACUGAAGCUAGCGAGUGAAACAAAUCUGCACACUGCCUGCCUAAGCCAUUACGGAUCCGAAGGAAGUAGUUCAAGCUCCUCAAUAUUCUCUCUGAUUCAUAUGGAGGACACAGAAGCAGCCUGGAAUAAAGCAGAGAACUAUGUGAAUAAAUUCUGAAUGUUUAUGUUAGUUUUUAAGUGUUUGUGUUUUGAGUAAAUAUGAUUUAUGUAGGUGGUCUGUUUUAAUACUUUGUCUGAGUGUGGAGACGAUCUUAAGUUUGAUGAGUUUCAGCUACAAUAGAGCAUAAAGCUAUCAAUAGUUUUGGAUCUUGAAGGAUAUUGCUAAGUUUGAAAAUUUGAUCCUUAAAAUUAUAAGAAUUCAUUUAUU